rnacentral:rRNA from 1 species
AACGAACGCUGGCGGCAUGCCUAACACAUGCAAGUCGAACGAGACCUUCGGGUCUAGUGGCGCACGGGUGCGUACGCGUGGGAACCUGCCCUUAGGUUCGGAAUAACUCCCCGAAAGGGGUGCUAAUACCGGAUAAUGUCUUCGGACCAAAGAUUUAUCGCCUUUGGAUGGGCCCGCGUUGGAUUAGCUAGUUGGUAGGGUAAAAGCCUACCAAGGCGACGAUCCAUAGCUGGUCUGAGAGGAUGAUCAGCCACACUGGGACUGAGACACGGCCCAGACUCCUACGGGAGGCAGCAGUGGGGAAUAUUGGACAAUGGGCGAAAGCCUGAUCCAGCAAUGCCGCGUGAGUGAUGAAGGCCUUAGGGUUGUAAAGCUCUUUUACCCAGGAUGAUAAUGACAGUACCGGGAGAAUAAGCUCCGGCUAACUCCGUG